UACGUAGGGAGCGAGCGUUGUCCGGAUUUACUGGGUGUAAAGGGUGCGUAGGCGGCCCUGCAAGUCAGAAGUGAAAUCCAUGGGCUUAACCCAUGAACUGCUUUUGAAACUGUCAGGCUGGAGUGCAGGAGAGGAAAGCGGAAUUCCUAGUGUAGCGGUGAAAUGCGUAGAUAUUAGGAGGAACACCAGUGGCGAAGGCGGCUUGCUGGACGACAACUGACGCUGAGGCGCGAAAGCGUGGGGAGCAA
rnacentral:rRNA from 1 species